rnacentral:rRNA from 1 species
GGGCGCAAACCUGAUCCAGCAAUGCCGCGUGAGUGAAGAAGGCCUUCGGGUUGUAAAGCUCUUUCAGUCGAGAAGAAAAGGUUGUGACGAAUAAUCACAACUCAUGACGGUAUCGACAGAAGAAGCACCGGCUAACUACGUGCCAGCAGCCGCGGUAAUACGUAGGGUGCGAGCGUUAAUCGGAAUUACUGGGCGUAAAGGGUGCGCAGGCGGCUUUGUAAGUCAGAUGUGAAAUCCCCGGGCUUAACCUGGGAAUUGCGUUUGAAACUACAAAGCUAGAGU